rnacentral:rRNA from 1 species
UGAGGAAUAUUGGACAAUGGGCGCAAGCCUGAUCCAGCAAUGCCGCGUGCAGGAUGAAGGCCUUCGGGUUGUAAACUGCUUUUGUACGGAGCGAAAAGGUCUGCCCUAAUACGGUGGGCUCAUGACGGUACCGUAAGAAUAAGCACCGGCUAACUACGUGCCAGCAGCCGCGGUAAUACGUAGGGUGCGAGCGUUAAUCGGAAUUACUGGGCGUAAAGCGUGCGCAGGCGGUUAUAUAGGACAGAUGUGAAAUCCCCGGGCUCAACCUGGGACCUGCAUUUGUGACUGUAUAGCUAGAGUACGGUAGAGGGUGAUGGAAUUCCGCGUGUAGCAGUGAAAUGCGCAGAUAUGCGGAGGAACACCGAUGGCGAAGGCAAUCCCCUGGACCUGUACUGACGCUCAUGCACGAAAGCGUGGGGAGCAAACA